AAGCCUGAUGCAGCGACGCCGCGUGGGGGAUGACGGCCUUCGGGUUGUAAACCUCUUUCAGCACAGACGAAGCGUGAGUGACGGUAUGUGCAGAAGAAGCACCGGCCAACUACGUGCCAGCAGCCGCGGUAAUACGUAGGGUGCGAGCGUUGUCCGGAAUUACUGGGCGUAAAGAGCUCGUAGGUGGUUUGUCGCGUUGUUCGUGAAAACUCACAGCUUAACUGUGGGCGUGCGGGCGAUACGGGCAGACUGGAGUACUGCAGGGGAGACUGGAAUUCCUGGUGUAGCGGUGGAAUGCGCAGAUAUCAGGAGGAACACCGGUGGCGAAGGCGGGUCUCUGGGCAGUAACUGACGCUGAGGAGCGAAAGCGUGGGGAGCGAACAGGAUUAGAUACCCUGGUAGUCCACGCCGUAAACGGUGGGUACUAGGUGUGGGUUUCCUUCCUUGGGAUCCGUGCCGUAGCUAACGCAUUAAGUACCCCGCCUGGGGAGUACGGCCGCAAGGCUAAAACUCAAAGGAAUUGACGGGGGCCCGCACAAGCGGCGGAGCAUGUGGAUUAAUUCGAUGCAACGCGAAGAACCUUACCUGGGUUUGACAUGCACAGGACGCUGGUAGAGAUAUCAGUUCC
rnacentral:rRNA from 1 species